GGACUUGAUAUCUAACAAAUCAUCUAGAGAUAGAAGAGUGUCUGCUUGCAGAAAUGUUAAGACAGGUGCUGCACGGCUGUCGUCAGCUCGUGUCGUGAGAUGUUGGGUUAAGUCCCGCAACGAGCGCAACCCACGUAUUUAGUUGCUAACGGUUCGGCCGAGCACUCUAAAUAGACUGCCUUCGUAAGGAGGAGGAAGGUGUGGACGACGUCAAGUCAUCAUGGCCCUUAUGCCCAGGGCGACACACGUGCU
rnacentral:rRNA from 1 species